rnacentral:rRNA from 1 species
UGGUGGAGUGAUUUGUCUGCUUAAUUGCGAUAACGAACGAGACCUUAACCUGCUAAAUAGCUAGGCUAGCUUUGGCUGGUCGCCAGCUUCUUAGAGGGACUUUCGGCUCAAGCCGAAGGAAGUUUGAGGCAAUAACA